rnacentral:SRP_RNA from 1 species
CCUGUGUGAGUGAGGCUGCUUUUCGCCGGGUGUGUUGGCGGAGGAUCGUUCCGCUCAAGAGCUCUGAGCUGCAGUGGACUAUGUUGUCGGAGUGUCUGCACUAAGUUUGGCAUCGGUAUGGUGCUCCUGGGGGAGCCUGGGACCACCAGGUCGUCUAAGGAGGGAUGCACCGGCCCAGGUUGGACACGGAGCAGAUCAAAGUCCCCGUGCUGCUCUGUUUGUGGGAUUGCACCUGUGAAUAGAUGCUGCAGUGCAGCCUGAGCAACACAGCAAGAACCAUCCUU